UACGGGGGGGGGCAAGCGUUGUUCGGAAUUACUGGGCGUAAAGGGCGCGUAGGCGGCUCGCUAAGUCGGAUGUGAAAACUCUGGGCUCAACCCAGAGCCUGCAUUCGAAACUGACGAGCUCGAGUUCUGGAGGGGAAAGCGGAAUUCCUGGUGUAGCGGUGAAAUGCGUAGAUAUCAGGAGGAACACCGAUGGCGAAGGCAGCCCCCCUGGGCUAACACUGACGCUCAGGCACGAAAGCGUGGGGAGCAAACAGGG
rnacentral:rRNA from 1 species